rnacentral:rRNA from 1 species
UACGUAGGGUGCAAGCGUUAAUCGGAAUUACCGGGCGUAAAGCGCACGUAGGCGGUUUUUUAAGUCAGAUGUGAAAGCCCCGGGCUCAACCUGGGAAUUGCAUUUGAAACUGGAAAACUAGAGUGUGUGAGAGGGGGGUAGAAUUCCAAGUGUAGCGGUGAAAUGCGUAGAGAUUGGAGGAAUACCGGUGGCGAAGGCGGCCCCCCGGACAAAGACUGACGCUCAGGUGCGAAAGCGUGGGGAGCAAACAGG